UACAGAGGUCCCAAGCGUUGUUCGGAUUCAUUGGGCGUAAAGGGUGCGUAGGUGGCGUGGUAAGUCGGGUGUGAAAUCCCGGGGCUCAACCCCGGAACUGCACUCGAUACUACUGUGCUCGAGUACUGGAGAGGAGACUGGAAUUUACGGUGUAGCAGUGAAAUGCGUAGAUAUCGUAAGGAAGACCGGUGGCGAAAGCUAGUCUCUGGACAGUCACUGACACUGAGGCACGAAGGCUAGGGGAGCAAACGGG
rnacentral:rRNA from 1 species